GCAUGCUCUCCGGCUAUGAAGUCUGGACAGCCUACCACUGACUUUGUCUCGCUUCCCUCGCUGUAGAACGCUGACAACCUGAUUCGUAGAAGCAACCCCUGCGCAGUCAGUGUGUAGCAGCGAUCGGCAUCCUUUCCUUCUUGGUCUCAGUAAUACGAAAAGAGAGCACCUGCUGGAAAAAGCACGUCAGACAUAAACAGCAAUGCGAGCAAACUUAUCACGCUUUGUUCGACAAAACAGCCAAAAAAGUGACCUUCGCUGUUUCCUUGCUCGGCUUCAGCUUAUUCUCCUGAGCACUUCCAUUGGUGCUUUAUUAUUAUUACCUCUCUUGGGCACACAGCAUCUUGAUGCUUACGCCCCCGUGAGCAGUCUACGACUUGAUUCGAGUAUCCUCCAGCUUUAAAACUUGACAGUUAUCUAGGAAGCCAGAAGCAGAUGAAUAGGAUGUGUUUCCUUUUACUUCAAAGGCAAAGCAGGCGACAACACGCCAUAUACAUAAAUGGACCAACGUGCCAUUUGCUCUUUUCGUAUUUUGUUUCAGCCUCUCAUUCACCUAUGCAUGUGAAUGAGCUAAGCUCUUGGGGAGAACCAUGUACAGACGUAGGUGACUUUGUUUUGUCACUGUGAGUGUGGGGUCGAAAAGUACGCUGGAAACGGUAGGUAAGUGCCAGAACUGUGUCUCAUCCUGCACAAAAACUGACAUGCGCCUCUUUACAGUUCCUUACUGCUGAAAAACAAAGGCGUCGUGCAAGUGUACUGUUCAUCAGCAUGUGUAGGCGAAAGCGAAACUACAUGAUGCCCCUUCUUUUCUUCGUUGUUGUUCAUGUCAUACGGCUUCUCUGCCGGGUGUGAUUUGUGAUUCACCAG
rnacentral:misc_RNA from 1 species